ensembl:lncRNA
AUGCAAUCAUAUAAUUCCCUUGAUUUGGGAUUUUUGAUAAAUGGUCACUGUCCUUUAUUUUCUCACAGGGUUUUUGAGGAGACCAUUCCUUUUGAAAGCCUUGAGCUCCAUGACGAUGCUGAUUUACCGGAGGAUGAUGUAAAGCCAGAGAAAGUUGGGCCAGAAACAUCUCUAAAGCUGAAAGAUCUCAUCCCUGUACUGUACCAGGAGGGAAGUUAUCAAGGAGAGCCUGUCACUCUUGGAGUCGGGGGGUUUGGAAAAGUGGAGCUGGUAUGA